UUAGAGUUUGAUCCUGGCUCAGGAUGAACGCUAGCGACAGGCUUAACACAUGCAAGUCGAGGGGCAGCGAGAGGGUAGCAAUACCCUUGUCGGCGACCGGCGCACGGGUGCGUAACACGUAUGCAACCUACCCCGCAUGGGAGAAUAACCCGGAGAAAUCCGGACUAAUGCUCCAUGGGAACCGGGAGAGGCAUCUCUUCCGGUUUAAAGAUUCAUUGAUGCGGGAUGGGCAUGCGGAUGAUUAGCUAGAUGGUGAGGUAACGGCUCACCAUGGCGACGAUCCUUAGGGGUUCUGAGAGGAAGGUCCCCCACAUUGGAACUGAGAACGGUCCAAACUCCUACGGGAGGCAGCAGUGAGGAAUAUUGGUCAAUGGGCGGAAGCCUGAACCAGCCAUACCGCGUGCAGGAGGAAGGUCUUAUGGAUUGUAAACUGCUUUUGUAUUGGGGUAAUGGCAGUGUCGAGAACACUGAAGAGAAAGUACAAUACGAAUAAGUAUCGGCUAACUCCGUGCCAGCAGCCGCGGUAAUACGGAGGAUGCAAGCGUUAUCCGGAUUUAUUGGGUUUAAAGGGUGCGUAGGCGGUAUGGUAAGUCAGUGGUGAAAUGUCUCAGCUCAACUGAGAACGUGCCAUUGAUACUGUCGUACUAGAAUUCGGAUGCCGUGGGAGGAAUGUGUAGUGUAGCGGUGAAAUGCUUAGAUAUUACACAGAACACCGAUUGCGAAGGCAUCUCACGAAUCCGACAUUGACGCUGAGGCACGAAAGUGUGGGGAUCAAACAGGAUUAGAUACUCUGGUAGUCCACGCUGUAAACGAUGAUAACUAUAUGUUGGCGAUAGACAGCCAGUGUAGCAGCGAAAGCGAUAAGUUAUCCACCUGGGGAGUACGAUCGCAAGGUUGAAACUCAAAGGAAUUGACGGGGGCCCGCACAAGCGGAGGAGCAUGUGGUUUAAUUCGAUGAUACGCGAGGAACCUUACCUGGACUUGAACGUAAAGUCAAUAUCUAAGAGAUUAGAUAGCUAGCAAUAGGAGUUUACGAGGUGCUGCAUGGUUGUCGUCAGCUCGUGCCGUGAGGUGUCAGGUUAAGUCCUAUAACGAGCGCAAUCCUUGUCAAUAGUUACCAGCAUGUAAAGAUGGGGACUCUAUUGAGACUGCCGGCGUAAGCCGAGAGGAGGGAGGGGAUGACGUCAAAUCAGCACGGCCCUUACGUCCAGGGCGACACACGUGCUACAAUGGUAGGUACAGAGGGCAGUUACUUGGUGACAAGAUACGAAUCUCGAAAGCCUAUCACAGUACGGAUUGAAGUCUGCAACCCGACUUCAUGAAGCUGGAUUCGCUAGUAAUCGCAGAUCAGCCAUGCUGCGGUGAAUACGUUCCCGGGCCUUGCACACAACGCCCGUCA
rnacentral:rRNA from 1 species